AAUUAAGAGAUAAUCAAAGAAUCAUCUCAUUAGCAUAGCUGCUACUCGUUGUCCAAACAAAAUGAGUUGCACAAUCAAACUACUUUUUUGGCUAACAUAACCUCAAAAAUUGCAAAGUUCCCCAGCCUUACUAUAUUAAUUGGAUAUGUUAUUUGUACAUAUCCCUAGAAGUACCAUAACAGUGAUAAACAUGCCAGUGCAGACCCAGACUUCAGGCAAGUCUUGCUGCAUUUAGCAGAAUGCCUGCAAAUUGUCUGCAAACUCUUCCCAUUCAUUAUGGCAGAUAUUGUGUUGAAGGGAAUAAGCACAAACUAGGCAAGUACAUUAAGAUUCAUCUCUUUGUGCUUAACCUGGUACCGUAAAGCAUCAGGGGGUUUUUUAAGGGUUUUGGGGUUUUUUUCUUAACAUGCUAGCUAAUACUCUCACGCAAGAAGGUAACAUGGUAAAUUUUUCAUGGGUGAUAGUAAAUCAUGCUUUGCAUUUAUUGAUUUUUUUUUUCUUUUGGCAAAUAGUUGGUUUAAAGCAACUCAUCUUUUUAGCAUGGGUUAACAUUUCACAAAUAUAGAAGUACGGAGAUUCCCCUCUAACGGUCUACCUAAAAGAGAGCAAUUUAAAAUCAUUCAACUGAAGACAAUAGCAAGUCUAAGAUUAAAGCUGAGGUAACAACUGGAAAUAAAUUAAUCAGCAUGGUCAGCAUAUUCUUCAGCAUUGCUGUGUAAGUAACACAGUUGUAGUAAACCUGGCCCUGGCGUUUCCCAGUGUUCCUGUUGCUUUGUCCCAUAUUCUGUGGCAGUAUUUGCUAGUAAUGUAUUAACAGAAUUCACCUUCCCAAGGCAUGGAAACGCUUUUUUUAGGUCCUGACAUUAUAGACGUAUCUUGAAUCAAUAGAGCUGGCCACUUACUGCGAGAAUCGGAAAUACCAUGGAAGGUAAUUGCUUCACAGCAAAUGACUUCACAUAAUUUGAUAAUCGCUAGGUCUCAGGCAUUAUUCCUGCUGUUAAUCCAUUGUGAUUUAUUGUCCAUUUCUACUUCAUUUAUCAUCACAUUAUUGUUCCAAGGUUUUUUGUGAUCUUUGGUUCUCAGAACCCAGCUGCACUUUUCAUUGCUGGCAGUUCAAAAAAAAAAAAAUUUAAACAGUUGAAAUGCUGUGCCCAAUGAAUAUGUUUCAUUUGUACUGUGCCUGGAGGCUGUCCUGGGCAGGCUGCAGUUCUCUUUCCACUUUUCAGUCCUUGUGGUAAGUCAAAAGGAGUAUGUCGAUAAAACUCCCUUUUCUGGACAAAUAACGAUUAGAUUUUUCUUCACUUCCAAGUCUGGCUACAAAUACACAGCACUGUGCAUCUUCCUUGUGUAGCUGACAUUUGUUGAGCAUGUAGUGGAAUGUUUUGAAAAUAUACUAUUAUUCAGUACUUGUGUUUUCCAUGCUUCUUGGUGUUUAAGGGUUGUCAGCUUCAACCACUUUUGGCAGUAGAUAAAGACAGUACUGUCUGACCUGCAUUUCCUUCUACUCUGUUUUAACAUUUUAAUUCUGUUAAUAUUUUUCUAGGAUAACCCCGCUUGAGGGCGGUUGGACCAGAUGACCCACUGUGGUCCCUUACAGCCUUACCCAUUGUGUGAUUCUGUGAUUCCCAAGUGAGAAUUACCCUUUGGAGAUGCAGGUCAGAGCCCCCAGAUCCUGCUGCAGGUGAGGAGAGGGAAGAGUGGCUACAAAGCAGGCUCCUACACAGUUUGCCCAGAGCUACAGAGCUGUAAGUGGGCUCUAUGCACACCCCAGGGAGCAAGCAGAACAACCCCAAAAUGACUCUUUGCCUGGAGCUUUCUCUCCAGAGUUCCUGUACAAUACUUUCACAGUUGUCACCCCUUCAUGUGAAAUAAGAUUUUGUGUAAACAAGGGGGAGAGAGGGCUUCCCUGUGCCAAGGUGGCAAGGAUCAGCACUGGGGCAUUGAAUAAGGCUCUUUUUUCACCCCAGAGUCUACGGUGCGUUUGCUGGAUUGUUUUAUAGGCACUAAGGCAGGAGGUGCAGGUGACAGCUCAGAGCUGAGUAACCUCUGAUGAGGCUCCUCCUGUUUGCCUCUAAGUAAAACUGAAAUAACUGGAGCUGAGCUGCAUCAAGGUUCAGAACAGAAGGAGGCAGCAUUUCCACCAGGUUGGAUUAAAUGACCGUCAAAGCUGUAGGAUGACACUCUUCAUCAUUAACAAAGCGCAAGCAGAAUUCCAGCCUGUGAGUGACUUGGGUAGUGAAGAUCAUUCACCAUGCCAGAUGGUAACAUGGUAGCUGGACUACUAGAUAGGUUACUUAGUCAAUGGAUUACCUCUAAAAUUGCAGGAGGAGAAGGCAUCUUCUCUCUUGUGCUUGCAGAAUGGCAGGAGGUUGAGGCUUCAUUUUCCUUUCUAGUGUUUUCUUUGUGCUGUACACAGGCUCCUGGCCUAUGUUUAGGAAUCCAUGGCUAUUAAAGAUGCCCAGUAAGAUAGGUAAAACUGCAGGCAUUUGUUUUGACAGAAAUUCUUUCUGCCUAAAUAAGACCUUUGUUUCAGCUGACAAUUCAUCAGGCUUGCCUGUGCUUUACACGCUUGACAUUUUUUGUGGCUAAAGCCAAUUUUACAUGGUAGUAAUACAUCAUCAGGAGAGUACUGAAUUUUUUUCCUUGACCUUCUGUAGUUCCUGUUCCCAUUUUUAGAAGUCAUUUCAAAUGUUGCUGUUGGUUAUGUUCCAUUUAUGUUCAACCUGUUCCUCAUGUCACUGCUGUCAUUCAUGCUAGCUAACUAUGGAACUGAGAAUCAAGAUUUUUGUUUUCAAUGAAAGUCCAUUUUUAGUCUCCUUAUCUGUCACUUAUUAGUUGGAAUUUCAGCAUUACCCGAAGCACAGGUAAGGUGUUUUUCUCUCUUUAUUCAUUGCUUGGUAUAUGCAAGUUGCAAUCUACUGCUCAGAAAGGGUUUUCCUACACUGCAGCCAAUGAUAAUUUGUGGAUUGUGCGUAAAGCUCAUAUUUUUUUCUAGUAAAACUGUGAUGUAACACUCACCAAUAGUGAUAGAGUUGCAUCCACAGGUUCUGAUGUCCCUAUGGCUUUUCUUUCUAUCCCUUCUUGAAGCAAACGUGUCAUAGCCAUGAUGUUGCCACUUUCUGGUAGGGUGGGCAGAAUUUCGCUUCUUCUUCUCCCCUCAUUCCUAAGCCAGAGAUGUGAAGAUGCUGGAAGAACUCUUUCUCUGGGCCUCCCUGCCAAGAGCUGCUCUUGUCACCACUUCUUGUCUGCAGGCUUCAUACAACUGCUCAUUUUUCUGAGGGAUGAGCAUCUAGAGGUGACAGUUUCAUUACUCAGAGAACUCCAACUGACAGGCAAGUCUGUCACUAAAUUUAGCAUUUUCUAUCCUCUGCUACAGUUAUUCUUCUUGCCAUAAAUGUACCAUUAAACAGGGUGUUAAAAACAGACUUCAUUUAUGUUAAAAACAGGAGAUUUAUUGUGCACAUCACUGUUCCUGUGGACACAAUCUGAAUGGUCAAUGGGUCUCCACAGAGGACCCUGUAGGAAACAGGACCUCCAUCAACUAUGGUCAAACAGAUCUGUUUCCCCAUAGCUCAUUUACAUGAAAGAGGAAGAUCCUAUUUAAAUGUGUGUCCUUCCUCCUUCUCCAACUCCAAUUUAUUUGCCCUCCUUCCAGGUGGUGAGCAGGCUUGGACUGUGUCAUGCUGCUAGUGUAAGAGCCCACCCCACUUCUGGCAGAUGGGAGUUUGUUACUAAGCACUCUUCUCUGUUGGACUUACAGAGAGAAAGAAAGGUCUGGAAAUAGCUGCCUUGGAGACAUCUAUGGGAAAAUGAGCAUCUGGUGUUGAGACGGACUAUCCCUGGCAAGACUCAGGUCAGGGCAGAUGCGAUGAGAUCACAGCCAGUAGUCAGAGCACUUGCAGUUUGUCCUGAUUUCUUGAGUGUUGGAACAACUCAUCACCAGCACAGAAGAGCAGAUAUGGGGUCCCAAUGGCAUGUCACUAACCAGGAGGUGCUGCUCAUCAGGGAGCACUGCCACAUCUCCAGCUUCCGGAGGAAAUCUUGGUGGCUGUUUCCAGUUUCAGAGUAAAUCUUGGUGGCUGUUUCCAGGUUCGGUCAGACUGAACAGCAGGUACGUACUCUGAGGUCAGCAAUUCCCUGGCUUAGCAGAGCAGUGAGCUCCUGAGCCCUCAUGUGAGUCAGAGCCACUGGCUUCUACACACUUGGACAUGCUACUGCUCCUACCUUGGAAAUCCCUAGUACUGUAAAAAUACUCAGCUCUGAUGUCUCCAGCCUAUGAUUUUACAUCACCUCCCUCUUUUUUUAACAAUUAUAAUAUGUCUCUGGCUCCUCGAAGUAACUGAUAGAUGGAAAUCUCACCUUCCUUUGAAUCACUGAAUCAUUUUGUCUUUGUCUUCACUACAGAGUGUGAAACGUGGUAU